rnacentral:rRNA from 1 species
AGUGAACGCUGGCGGUAGGCCUAACACAUGCAAGUCGAACGGCAGCACAGUAAGAGCUUGCUCUUACGGGUGGCGAGUGGCGGACGGGUGAGGAAUACAUCGGAAUCUACUUUUUCGUGGGGGAUAACGUAGGGAACCUUACGCUAAUACCGCAUACGACCUACGGGUGAAAGCCGGGGAUCUUCGGACCUUGCGCGAUUGAAUGAGCCGAUGUCGGAUUAGCUAGUUGGCGGGGUAAAGGCCCACCAAGGCGACGAUCCGUAGCUGGUCUGGGAGGAUGAUCAGCCACACGGGAACUGAGACACGGUCCAGACUCCUACGGGAGGCAGCAGUGGGGAAUAUUGGACAAUGGGCGCAAGCCUGAUCCAGCCAUACCGCGUGGGUGAAGAAGGCCUUCGGGUUGUAAAGCCCUUUUGUUGGGAAAGAAAAGCAGCAGGUUAAUACCCCGCUGUUCUGACGGUACCCAAAGAAUAAGCACCGGCUAACUUCGUG